CAGUAUUCUUUUGUAAUUGUGUUAUAAAUUAAAUGCCACUUUGUACUGGGAAGAAGGGUAGAAACGAAAAAAAUGUAACUAUUUUCAUCCCUUCCCCUCACUCCUUUUACACGUUAUGUUAAACGCGAAGUAUCUAUUAUGCAUUAUUCAUUAAGUUGAAUAAUGUGUAAAUUACCAAAUGAAUAUCCUCAUCGCGCAUCAUGUGUUAUGCACCGGUAUCAUGUUAACUCGCGGGAACAUAUAAUGAUGAAGGACUAGCUCGUUUGACGAACAAUCGACCAAACACACUAUACCUAUUUGUUUCGGAGUGUUUUGAACAACCAC